rnacentral:lncRNA from 1 species
GUUCGUUUUUUGUGUGUAUUGCAUUGUCUUCUUUUUUUUUGUUGCACUUCCAAAUCGGUGUAUCUGUUGUUUCGUUGUUUUUCUCUAGUAGUUUAUGUGUUUCCCUCGGUUUUGUUUCGUUACCCAGAUUUCUUUUCCUUCAAUCGAUUUAAACAUGUGUAAAAUUGUUGCAUUAAUGCAUGAAAAAUUGGGACUGGGAAAUAUUUUAAAGUUUUAAAAUAUAACAUGUCAACUGGUAUAAUAAACAUCUGAUGAUG